GCCCGGGCGGCUCAGUCAGUUAAGCACCUGACUUCAGCUCAGGUCAUGAUCUCACAGUUUGUGGGUUCGAGCCCCACAUCAGGCU
rnacentral:tRNA from 1 species